UUAUCAGCCUGGCAUCAAAGGCAAUUAGUACAUGUAUACACUAUACCACACCUUUAAAUGAAUUUUUUGCUUUGGCAUUGCUUUCUACAUAAACAAAUCAUUUGUUAGGUGCUGUUUGAUUUGUUAUGUGUAUGAUUAAAUUUCAGGUUAAAAGACUCAUGGUGAAAAGACUCAUGGUGAAAGACUCAGGUGAAAAGACUCAGGUGAAAAGAUUCAGGUGAAAAGACUCAGGUGAAAAGACAAAAGUAUCAUGAGAGAGCUGAUGGGCAUAUAUCAUAUAUGAACGAGAACAGUAUUGUAUACAAAGCACUGUUUACCUUCUUUAUUUUUUUGGUUUUCAGAAUUGUAGCCACCUCAAAUAGUAGUAGAUUUUUAGCACAUUUUGAUGCAUUGAUGUAUUGUGUAAUAAUGCAAAAAACAAUCAUUAAACAGUAUAACCAUUUUUGGCUAAAUACA